GAUGAACGCUGGCGGCGUGCUUAACACAUGCAAGUCGAACGGAAAGGCUCCUGCUUGCAGGGGUACUCGAGUGGCGAACGGGUGAGUAACACGUGGGUGAUCUGCCCUGCACUUCGGGAUAAGCCUGGGAAACUGGGUCUAAUACCGGAUAGGACCACAUUUUGGAUGGUGUGGUGGAAAGUUUUUCGGUGUGGGAUGAGCUCGCGGCCUAUCAGCUUGUUGGUGGGGUAAUGGCCUACCAAGGCGUCGACGGGUAGCCGGCCUGAGAGGGUGUACGGCGACAUUGGGACUGAGAUACGGCCCAGACUCCUACGGGAGGCAGCAGUGGGGAAUAUUGCACAAUGGGCGCAAGCCUGAUGCAGCGACGCCGCGUGGGGGAUGACGGCCUUCGGGGUGUAAACUCCUUUCGCUAGGGACGAAGCGCAAGUGACGGUACCUGGAGAAGAAGCACCGGCUAACUACGUG
rnacentral:rRNA from 1 species